CGAACUCUGGAGCUCAGGCAGUACACCUACCUUGACCUCCCAAAGUGCUGGGAUUACAGAGCAGAGAAGAGGAUGUAGGCCUGUGUACACAAUGCGAUUGCAGCCAUUUGUUUUUGAACUGCAGACAUGGGAUUGGAACCACACGCCGACACUGUUCCUAUUAGUUCCCUUGAGUCAUCCAUAUCCUGCAAAGAGCCUCAAUCCCUUGCGUGAUGAUGAGAAAAGGUCGAAAGGUCUCCUUCUACAGAUCUGGGAGCCAGUUGCUUUCCUCUGGGAACAACGGAGAUAAUGGUGUUUUCAGACAAGGGAAUAAAUUCCCGGAAGCAAGUGGCCAAGGAAUGAAAAUCCUGGAGAACAAAGUGGAACAAACCCGUAUUCAACGGUUCCUGUUGAUUUUCUUUCCUCCCUAAACACUGACCUCCCGCAGUCUUCACCAGCAGGUAUGCCCAUUUUCCUCCCUACACCACCAUAGCCUGUAGGUCCCUAACUUCCAGACCCUGCUCGGGGUUAAACAAGUUGGACACUAAACAGCCCGUGGGGGGUACCAUGUCUAGCAAGUCCGUGGGAAUGGGAACCCCUGGAUUGUGCAGUCCACACCCUGCACAACGGUAGGCUACUUUAACUCUGGGCUCAGAGCCAUGUGAAAAUGCCAGCUUUAUUAUGCUAAUUAGACUAAUGAUCUGCUGACUUUUUGGAGUAAGAGGCUUUGACCUCCCUGCUCAGCACAACCAGAACGGAGGGAGCUUUCAGAAGACAACAGCACCUCAGGGGGCCCCUAGCGGCCUCUUCUGCCCCCAAGCUGAGGAAUAUGUCCAAAAGUUGCCAACUCAGGCUGGGGGUGGGGGGUUGUCAGCUGGGCCUGCAACCCUCGUAGGUGUCACCUGCUUCAUUAUCCUCUCCUGGCGGGGUGUUCUGGCCUCCGGAGCAUCUGGAUGGGUUCCAGGAUAUAAAUGUGACACUGUCUUUGCAUUAAACUGGUAGAGCUGAAUCCCUUGAAAACACUCAUAGGACGAUGACAAGGUUUUGGCAGCUGCAGUCUUGAAGACCAGGAAGUGAGGUGGGUAAAUAUCUAGGAUGUACAGCCUCAUGGCUUGUCAGUGCCCUGGGGUAGAACGGGAGCCUCAGCAGCUGGUUCCAGUUCCCGACUAAUGCUUGGCUGAGUGCUCCUGGGGGCUCCCCUUCCCUGCUCGGGUGCUCCUUGUCUUUUGAGGGAGGGAAACGGUAUCCACUAGGGGCGGCGAGGGUCUCUCUGAGUGCCACUCUGCCACUCUCUGCUGGGGUCCCUCCAUGCUCUCUGUCCCUGUGGCUCCCCCAACCCCAUGCCCAUCUCCUCCCUUCUCUGCCAUCGUCCUCCCUUUCAUGGCAAUCGUCCCGCUGUCCCCUCACAGCCUAUCUCUCCCCUGAGCCUCUGGUGGUGUGAUUCAUCUCCUUCUGGUGGACUCAGGGCUGGCCACGCUGCUGCCUGCAGCUUGCACUAAUCAUAAUAGCAGCCACAGCUAAUACGUGAAUUGCUUUUCAGAGUUCAAGGAGGCUUCCAGCCCCACAGUGCCCCUGGAUCCUUGCAAUGGUCCCUUGAAAAUGGUAGACUCUGGAUGCUUUUAUACAUUUAUGUAAAAAUGUAUUUUACAUUUAUAAAUGGAUGCAUUUAUUUGGUUUUAAUAAACAUAUUACUUCUCAGGAAUCACAUAUUUUAAACAGACUUUUUUGUUGAUCAAAUACAAUAAAGCUUUUUAAGAGUUUAUAUAAUCUACACUAAAUCUUUGACAAAAGCUAGGAGUAGAAUAUGAGUAUAAUAGCACCAAUUACUCUAAUUUUCUCUUUACCAUAGGGCAAGAAUAAAUACCCUGCAUUUUUAUAGUGCUUUAUACUUCGCCAGAAAAAACCAAACCUACAUUUAAUUCCCAAUAUAAUAGGCUCAUCCAGCAAUCUUUUGAGGUGAGGGAAACAAGACUUAUUAUCUCAAGUUUACGGGUUGAGGAAAUAAAGGUUUAUAUAAGUGAAAUAAUUUGUUCAGAGGUGCAAAUACCUGGUAGAUAGCAGAGGUAGAGUUUGAUGAAAGUUUCUGACUUUUAAAAUGAUACACCUCAAUUUCUUUCUUAAAAUUAUGUUUUUUUUUACAUAGAUACAAAAAGACAAGUGCCUACUUAUGGUCCUCCUCAAACGCUGCCGUUCACCAUCCAGUUUUCUCAUGUCCUACAGGAAAGGAUCCCCCACCCCACCUCACCACACAACUUUUUGACUUUCAUUUCUCACUCUUCUCUCCAGUUGCUUCCAUGGAAGCAGAUAGGCUGACCACAGUCUUGGGCAGCUCCAGUGUGGCUGGUGUGGCGCUGUGCACAGAGCUGAGCGGGUCUUGCAGGCGGCAGAGUCUGGCCUCACCUCAUGAGUAGGCAGGGAGGGCUUCCUGGACAAUUUCUCAUA